GGCGGCGUGCCUAAUACAUGCAAGUCGAGCGAAUGAUGAAGAAGCUUGCUUCUUCUGAUUUAGCGGCGGACGGGUGAGUAACACGUGGGCAACCUGCCCUGUAGAUUGGGAUAACUCCGGGAAACCGGGGCUAAUACCGAAUAAUCCAUUUCCUCACAUGUGGAGAUGUUAAAAGACGGUUUCGGCUGUCACUACAGGAUGGGCCCGCGGCGCAUUAGCUAGUUGGUGAGGUAACGGCUCACCAAGGCGACGAUGCGUAGCCGACCUGAGAGGGUGAUCGGCCACACUGGGACUGAGACACGGCCCAGACUCCUACGGGAGGCAGCAGUAGGGAAUCUUCCACAAUGGACGAAAGUCUGAUGGAGCAACGCCGCGUGAGUGAAGAAGGUUUUCGGAUCGUAAAACUCUGUUGUGAGGGAAGAACAAGUACGAGAGUAACUGCUCGUACCUUGACGGUACCUCAUUAGAAAGCCACGGCUAACUACGUGCCAGCAGCCGCGGUAAUACGUAGGUGGCAAGCGUUGUCCGGAAUUAUUGGGCGUAAAGCGCGCGCAGGCGGUCCUUUAAGUCUGAUGUGAAAGCCCACGGCUCAACCGUGGAAGGUCAUUGGAAACUGGGGGACUUGAGUGCAGAAGAGGAAAGUGGAAUUCCAAGUGUAGCGGUGAAAUGCGUAGAGAUUUGGAGGAACACCAGUGGCGAAGGCGACUUUCUGGUCUGUAACUGACGCUGAGGCGCGAAAGCGUGGGGAGCAAACAGGAUUAGAUACCCUGGUAGUCCACGCCGUAAACGAUGAGUGCUAAGUGUUAGGGGGUUUCCGCCCCUUAGUGCUGCAGCUAACGCAUUAAGCACUCCGCCUGGGGAGUACGGUCGCAAGACUGAAACUCAAAGGAAUUGACGGGGGCCCGCACAAGCGAUGGAGCAUGUGGUUUAAUUCGAAGCAACGCGAAGAACCUUACCAGGUCUUGACAUCCCGCUGACCGUUCUAGAGAUAGAUCUUUCCCUUCGGGGACAGCGGUGACAGGUGGUGCAUGGUUGUCGUCAGCUCGUGUCGUGAGAUGUUGGGUUAAGUCCCGCAACGAGCGCAACCCUUGAUCUUAGUUGCCAGCAUUCAGUUGGGCACUCUAAGGUGACUGCCGGUGAUAAACCGGAGGAAGGUGGGGAUGACGUCAAAUCAUCAUGCCCCUUAUGACCUGGGCUACACACGUGCUACAAUGGACGGUACAGAGGGUCGCAACCCCGCGAGGGUGAGCUAAUCCCAUAAAACCGUUCUCAGUUCGGAUUGUAGGCUGCAACUCGCCUACAUGAAGCCGGAAUCGCUAGUAAUCGUGGAUCAGCAUGCCACGGUGAAUACGUUCCCGGGCCUU
rnacentral:rRNA from 1 species